UACGUAGGGGGCUAGCGUUGUCCGGAAUUAUUGGGCGUAAAGGGCUCGUAGGCGGUCUGUCACGUCGGGAGUGAAAACUCAGGGCUUAACCCUGAGCCUGCUUCCGAUACGGGCAGACUAGAGGUAUGCAGGGGAGAACGGAAUUCCUGGUGUAGCGGUGAAAUGCGCAGAUAUCAGGAGGAACACCGGUGGCGAAGGCGGGUCUCUGGGCCGAUACUGACGCUGAGGAGCGAAAGCGUGGGGAGCGAACAGG
rnacentral:rRNA from 1 species